UUAUAACACGUUUAACGCGAUAUGGGC
rnacentral:sRNA from 1 species